rnacentral:rRNA from 1 species
GACGAACGCUGGCGGCGUGCUUAACACAUGCAAGUCGAACGAAAAGGCCCUGCUUUUGUGGGUUGCUCGUUUGGCGAACAGGUGAGUAAAACGCGAGGAACCUGCCCUUAUCUGUGGGAUAAAUUCAGGAAACUGGGGCUAAUACCGGAUAGGAGCUCCUGCUGCAUGUGGGGGAUUGGUAAGUUUCGGCUGUUGUGGAUGGACUCGCUGCUUAUCAGCUUGUUUGGGAGGUAGUGGAUUACCAAGGCUUUGACGGGUAGGCGGCCUGAGAGGGUGAACGGCCACCUUGCGACUGAGAGAGGGCCCAGAAUCCUAUGGGACGCAGCAGUGGGGAAUAUUGCACAGUGGCCGGAAGCCUGAUGCAGCAACGCCGCGUGCGGGAUGACGGGCUUCGGGGUGUAAACAGAUUUCGCAUGUGCCGAAGAGUGCGUGACGGUAAUGGGUCAAGAAGCAACGGCUAACUACGUG